CGGCGGUUAUUGAUAUAUCAUAUAGGCCCUCUCUAUUUAAUAUGACCCGAUGAAUUUUUGUAAAAGAUUUUAUGACUGGAGAAUUUCAGAAAAGGUAUCAAAAGUCUUAGGUACUUUGGGACAUGACAAUUGUAAUUCUAACCCGGCUCCUCAUUUUUUGGCUCCAAAAUUCCAUUUUUUUUUCUUUUAAUAUCAAUAAUGUUAGUGUUUAUCUGUAUAUUAUGAACAGUCAUUAUAAAUAGAGUGUCCCAGGUAAAGGGGAGGGUUGGGAACCCACUAAAAUGUUUAACCCCGCCACAUUAUUUAUCUAUGUGCCUGCCUGUAAUUCAGUGGUUGUCGUUUGUUUAUGUGUUACACAUUUGUUUUUCGUUCAUUUUAUUUCAUAUAAAAUAAUUAGUUUUCUCGUUUGAAUUGUUUUACAUUGUCAUAUCGGGGCCUAUCUAGCUGACUAUGCGGGAUGGGAUUUGCUCAUUGUUGAAGGCCGUACGGUGACCUAUAGUUGUUAAUGUCUUUGUCAUUUUGGUCUGUUGUGGACAGUUGUCUCAUUGGCAAUCAUACCACAUCUUCUUUUUUAUAUGUAUUUGCUUUUUAC
rnacentral:lncRNA from 1 species